GAUGAACGCUGGCGGCGUGCCUAAUACAUGCAAGUCGAGCGAACAGAUAAGGAGCUUGCUCCUUUGACGUUAGCGGCGGACGGGUGAGUAACACGUGGGUAACCUACCUAUAAGACUGGGAUAACUUCGGGAAACCGGAGCUAAUACCGGAUAACAUUUGGAACCGCAUGGUUCUAAAGUGAAAGAUGGUUUUGCUAUCACUUAUAGAUGGACCCGCGCCGUAUUAGCUAGUUGGUAAGGUAACGGCUUACCAAGGCGACGAUACGUAGCCGACCUGAGAGGGUGAUCGGCCACACGGGAGCUGAGACACGGUCCAGACUCCUACGGGAGGCAGCAGUAGGGAAUCUUCCGCAAUGGGCGAAAGCCUGACGGAGCAACGCCGCGUGAGUGAUGAAGGGUUUCGGCUCGUAAAACUCUGUUAUUAGGGAAGAACAAAUGUGUAAGUAACUGUGCACGUCUUGACGGUACCUAAUCAGAAAGCCACGGCUAACUACGUG
rnacentral:rRNA from 1 species